UACGAAUUAUCUUUGAAAGACAAGUGUCCUGAAAACGGGAUGUUUCUUUUUUUGCUGAGUUUAGAUAGUCGACUUGGUCUCAAAGAAACUGUUGUCUUUGCUGUUGUUAUCUUUGUUUCACUCCAGUCCCAGAAGGUGGCGAUAAUGCGCCAACUUGAUUGUUGUUGGGUGCCCCCUGAACCGUAGAAGAAGACUUUCAAUCGUAAACAACUAGCUAACGUUAGCUGGCUGCUAGUGUGCGUUUCAUUUCGCAAUAAUGGCCAAAUUGGAGUUGCUAAGUUUGUUUCUCACUGAACGAUUAACGUCAGCUGCACAGGAUAUAUAUAAAAUGGUAGAAGAAACGUUUGCAGAAUACCAAGCAGAGAUCACUUACGUAAAGAGAGAGAAUGAAUUUCUACGGAAGCAGUUAAAUGCUAACAGACCGAGAAAAGUGAACGUAAAACGAGGUCUACGACAGAUCACCCGCAUUGUCUCUGUAGCAGUAGCUCCCCCAAAGCUGCAGCAGCAUUGUGAGCAGGAGUCGAGCCCCAGUCUGGGGAAGGAGGUUUCACAAACUGAGGGCAAGAAGCAAGAAGCAAGGACCAGUCAGGGGGAAGAGCAGCUUCAAGAGACUGGAACAACAGAAUUGAUGCCUACACCCACCACUCACUGUUGCAGCAAAGACAAUGAUCUUGGCCCAUCCAAAACAUUACCCCAGAUCCAGCCCAAGCCCUUACCCUCCUUACCCAUACCCCUUCUCCUGGCUCAGCCCGCACAGCCCUUCCAAAUCGCACAGAACCAAGCCGUCGUCUUAUCUCAUCAGAUAUCGCCUCUGGUCAUUCAGGUUGUAAAGAAAUUGUUUAUUUGUAAAGACUGUGGGAAGACUUUCCGUUACAUGAGUCGUUUGAAACAGCACACACGCAUGGCUCACACGCAGGAAAAACCCCACUGCUGUACGUUGUGUGGAAAGUGUUUUCUUACCGCCAGCAAGUUAAAAACACACCAGCUAAUACACACCGGCGAGAGACCCUACCUCUGUAAUGUCUGUGGUCACUGUUUCAACCAGAGGUCGAACCUCAAAGUACACAUGCAGAGGAAACACAAAGAUGUCAAGGGUGUGUGACAAAAAAAUAUAUAGCAUACAGUAUAUGGAUUUACAUUCAUAUUUACAUUUUAGUCAUUUAGAAGACGCUCUUAGCCAGAGCGACUUACAGUUAAUGCAUUCAUCUUCAGAUAGCUAGGUGGGAUGAUGAUGAAAAGGUUAUGUGGGAAAAAGACAGCAAAAAUAAAUUAAGUUGUGUGUAAGACACACAUCUCCCCAACCCCUACACUCAGGUGUAUGUCAGUGGAGGCUGAGGGGAGAACGGCUCAUAUAAGUCUGGACCGGGGUGAAUGGAAUGGCAUCAAACAUUGUGUUUGAUGUAAUUAAUACCAAUCCUCAAAUUCCCCUCCAGCCAUUACCACGAGCCCGUCCUCCCCAAUUAAGGUGCCACCACCCUCCUGUGGUGUACAUCAUUUCUCCUCCCUUUCUUCCCUGUAUUGUUGUCUCAAAUCAUAAACUACAUUAAAGAUGUAAAACAGCCUGUUUUCUUUUACAGGCUCCAACCUCUAACUUGUAUCAUAUUUUGGCUCUAAUUGCUGGACAGGUCUUGCAUGGUAAGAUGCUUUUUUGCUCAGCUAAAAAGCCAAUUCAGUCGACCCCUGAUAAAGUGCACAUUGGUUAAUUGCACCAGUCUAUACAAAACAGUCUCAAGUCAGAUGGUGUGUUCUAGAUACACACACACACAAAUCAUGAGAGGAUUCAUAUGUUAUUUCAAUGUGUGGAAGAUGGUAAACACUUUUCCAGGCACUGCAUAAGUAGUUGGCUGUAUUUUGUAUUCAAAAUUCACCUGGGUAUACCACUCAAAGCUCACUCAUUGGUAUUCACUUUUGUAGCCUGUGGUAGGUGCCCCAAAAUUAACAAGCCCUUUUUAACCUAUAUAAACCAUUUCAAAAUCUU